rnacentral:rRNA from 1 species
UGCCAGCCGCCGCGGUAAUACGAAGGGUGCUAGCGUUGUUCGGAAUUACUGGGCGUAAAGAGCAUGUAGGCGGAUGAAUUAGUCAGAGGUGAAAGCCCCGAGCUCAACUUGGGAACUGCCUUUGAUACUGUUUAUCUAGAGGAUGUGAGAGGUGAGUGGAAUUCCGAGUGUAGAGGUGAAAUUCGUAGAUAUUCGGAAGAACACCAGUGGCGAAGGCGACUCACUGGCACAUUUCUGACGCUGAGGCGCGAAAGCGUGGGGAGCAAACAGGAUUAGAUA